CUUCGGUUACGAUCGGUGACAGGUGGUGGCAUGGGUUGUCGUCAGCUCGUGUCGUGAGAUGUUGGGUUAAGUCCCGCAACGAGCGCAACCCCUAUUGUUAGUUGCCAUCAUUCAGUUGGGCACUCUAGCGAGACUGCCGGUAAUAAACCGAAGGAAGGUGGGGAUGACGUCAAAUCAUCAUGCCCCUUAUGACCUGGGCUACACACGUGCUACAAUGGUUGGUACAACGAGUUGCGAGUCGGUGACGGCGAGCUAAUCUCUUAAAGCCAAUCUCAGUUCGGAUUGUAGGCUGCAACUCGCCUACAUGAAGUCGGAAUCGCUAGUAAUCGCGGAUCAGCACGCCGCGGUGAAUACGUUCCCGGGCCUU
rnacentral:rRNA from 1 species